AAAUUGAAGAGUUUGAUCAUGGCUCAGAUUGAACGCUGGCGGCAGGCCUAACACAUGCAAGUCGAACGGUAACAGGAAGCAGCUUGCUGCUUCGCUGACGAGUGGCGGACGGGUGAGUAAUGUCUGGGAAACUGCCUGAUGGAGGGGGAUAACUACUGGAAACGGUAGCUAAUACCGCAUAACGUCGCAAGACCAAAGAGGGGGACCUUCGGGCCUCUUGCCAUCGGAUGUGCCCAGAUGGGAUUAGCUAGUAGGUGGGGUAACGGCUCACCUAGGCGACGAU
rnacentral:rRNA from 1 species